rnacentral:tRNA from 1 species
GCCUGGUGGGCUCAGUCGGUAGAGCAUGUUACUCUUGAUCUCAGGAUCAUGAGUUCAAGCCCCAAAUUGGGCA